rnacentral:rRNA from 1 species
GAUGAACGCUGGCGGCGUGCCUAAUACAUGCAAGUCGAGCGAACAGACGAGGAGCUUGCUCCUCUGACGUUAGCGGCGGACGGGUGAGUAACACGUGGAUAACCUACCUAUAAGACUGGGAUAACUUCGGGAAACCGGAGCUAAUACCGGAUAAUAUAUUGAACCGCAUGGUUCAAUAGUGAAAGACGGUUUUGCUGUAACUUAUAGAUGGAUCCGCGCCGCAUUAGCUAGUUGGUAAGGUAACGGCCUAUCAAGGCAACGAUGCGUAGCCGACCUGAGAGGGUGAUCGGCCACACGGGAACUGAGACACGGUCCAGACUCCUACGGGAGGCAGCAGUAGGGAAUCUUCCGCAAUGGGCGAAAGCCUGACGGAGCAACGCCGCGUGAGUGAUGAAGGUCUUCGGAUCGUAAAACUCUGUUAUUAGGGAAGAACAAAUGUGUAAGUAACUAUGCACGUCUUGACGGUACCUAAUCAGAAAGCCACGGCUAACUACGUG